rnacentral:lncRNA from 1 species
CAAGACACCGGCCGCGUACUCCUUGUGAUGGUGCCAAACAAGCAGAGAAGGCAGAGUCCCUCCCACCGUGGACUUCUCACUCCUGGGAGCGAUGUCCACCCCCUUCCCGACUGCAAGAGGACUCACGCUGCUCUCAGCCUGAGGCAGAGAAGCCCUUCCUUCCGUAGAAGGCAGCAGCUAUUGCCCAGACUCCUACACGGGAACAAGUGGGGAAUAUGGGGAACAAGUGUGAGCCCUCAGCCUUAAAUGGGUUAUCUGUCAUACACACCCAAGGCCCGGAGAACAUUUGCAGAAGAAGGGCAGAAAAACAAACAAACAAACAAACCAACAAGCCAAAGAGGAAAACAAGAGCUGGAGGAUGGGAAGGAGUGUCAGGAACCUGCUUCCAGGUAGAUCUGGCACUGGUGUUGAAACCGAAGGCACACAGCUGCUAUGGCUACCUGCAGAAGACUUGGCCACAGGAGUUCCCAUCUCUGUUGAAGAACUAAAGGCAGAAUCCAGACUUAUGCUAUAUGACAUGAAAGUUGAAGGAUGACCAAUGUCAGGGGAGGAAUGGCACCCAGCCAUGGUGAGGAAGAGAGAAUAUUGGGGCAGAACCCACUACAUGUCAGGCGUGCUGCCAAGUGUUUGAGAGGAUAUACAGUUGAAGAAAUUCCCUUUCUAGGCUGAGGCUGCCAAAGCCCAUAGAGAAGGCCAACUAAUGAUGGCACCUGCAUGUCAAAAAGAACAUAGGAAA